rnacentral:rRNA from 1 species
UAAUACGGAGGAUCCGAGCGUUAUCCGGAUUUAUUGGGUUUAAAGGGUGCGUAGGCGGCACUUUAAGUCAGGGGUGAAAGACGGCAGCUCAACUGUCGCAGUGCCCUUGAUACUGAAGUGCUUGAAUGCGGUUGAAGACGGCGGAAUGAGACAAGUAGCGGUGAAAUGCAUAGAUAUGUCUCAGAACACCGAUUGCGAAGGCAGCUGUCUAAGCCGUUAUUGACGCUGAUGCACGAAAGCGUGGGGAUCGAACAGGAUUAGAUACCCUGGUAGUCCACGCCCUAAACGAUGAUAACUCGAUGUUUGCGAUAUACCGUAAGCGUCCAAGCGAAAGCGUUAAGUUAUCCACCUGGGGAGUACGCCCGCAAGGGUGAAACUCAAAUGAAUUGACGG